rnacentral:rRNA from 1 species
AAGCGCUUGCAACCAGACUUGCAUGCAGUUGAUCAUCCGAUGUUCUCACCGGUGCACUCAGUUGCAUUCAGGCCAGCAUCAGUUUUGGUGGUUGGAUAAAGGCCAAGGGAAUGUGGCUCCUUUUGGGGUGUUAUAGCCUUUGGUGCAAUGCAGCCUACCAGGACUGAGGACCGCGCUUCGGCUAGGAUGCUGGCGUAAUGGUCGUAAGCGA